rnacentral:rRNA from 1 species
GACGAACGCUGGCGGCGUGCUUAACACAUGCAAGUCGAACGAAGUGGCGAACGGGUGAGUAACGCGUAAUCAACCUGCCCUUCAGAGGGGGACAACAGUUGGAAACGACUGCUAAUACCGCAUACUGAAGGAGGUGAUGGCGUUGGAUAAGCUAGUUGGGGGGGGAACGGCCCACCAAGGCGAGGAUCAGUAGCCGGUCUGAGGGGAGGAACCGCAACAUCGGGACUGGGGACAGGCCCAGACGCCCACGGGAGGCAGCAGGGGGGAAACUUCCGCAAUGGAGGGAAGUCUGAAGGAGCACAGGCGGGUGAGUGAUGACGGCCUUUGGGUUGUAAAGCUCUGUUAAUCGGGACGCGGUACCGGAAUAGAAAGCAACGGCUAACUACGUGCCAGCCGCCGCGGUAAUAC